GCUGGGCAUGGUGGCUCACACCUGUAAUCCCAGCCACUUGGGAGGCUGAGACUGGAGGAUCAUGAGUUCAAAGCCAGCCUCAGCAAAAGCAAGGCACUAAGCAAUUCAGUGAGACCCUGUCUCUU
rnacentral:sRNA from 1 species